ensembl:lncRNA
UGAGUACUGGACACUUCCAACAGAACCUGAAUACAUGAUGAGUAUGAUCAUGGCAUCUUUUCUCUCACCCAGCUCUGCUGUUGCUGGUUCCUGGGAUCCUGACUGAAAAGUCUUCCAUUGAGUUGGUGGUAGUCAACAGCAUCUCAAACACACCCAAUAAGACCUAUAGUACUGAUGUCGCAUUCAGAGGGGUCCUUAUCGGUGCCAUGAGAAGACUGCAGGAGACCACUGCAGGAUUCAAUUUCACCUACACAGAGGACCGCAACUAUGGUCCCUUCCUGGUGAGUGUGAAUGGUGUAGCCGGGAACAAAAAUGAGAACAAUUUCUGGUGAGAUUCUUGUUCAAACUGGGGGUAAUGGUAAACCAACUACCAUUGACCUGAUGUGGGUAUUGGCUGUUACAUCCCAGAACCAAAUGACUGCAUCAUCCUGAGAUUUACUGUGUUCA